ACUGAAUUCGACUCUGCUCUGGAUACUGUCUUCUCAGUUUCUCCCUGCAUUGGUUUAUUUGCUAAUUUGUCUGCGAUUCUGAGGUUGCUCCAAUGCGUGUUUCUAACUUCAUCUCUUUCAUAAACCGGUGUCUCUUAUUGCUUUCGAAGAAGAAAAUUUACGCCUUUGAUUUUUUUUUUUUUUUUUGGAAUUAUGCUAGCUUAGGUUGGCUAAUAGUCCAUUUCACAAUUAAGGAAGCUUUAUAAGCAAUUUCUUUUUUGAGCUCUUUUUCCUUUCUACUGAUAUGGAGUUUCAUUGGCCUACGACGGGCUUUUGAUUUGUCAUGUUAUUGUUAGUUCUAUACUUGUAACCGAGGCCUCUGUUAGUUUUGGCCUAAAAGGGGACAAAAAGCCCUAUGGAGUUGUCUUUGGCAAUAUUUCAUCCAGAAGGGGAGAUAAUACUUUGUUUAAUCCCUUUUGAUAUAGUACAUUUGGGAUUUUGUGGGAGACUUGCAGAAGAAAAGAUCACGAGGAAGGUCAACAUGGAGGGAAAAUGCAUUCAAAAAGUUUUGUCUCAAGACUUGAAUGAUUUUGACACUAGUGAAGCUCCCCUUGAGGUUGAGUUUGUCAAUGUGAUGGAGAAUGAUAAGCCAGCAAAGAUUACUUCACCACUCAAUAGUUAUUUUGAUUUUGACGUAGCUUGUAAUUAAUCUGUGCUUUGGUCCUGCAAUCUUUGUGCAAUUUCUUUUUUGAGCUCUUUUUCCUUUCUACUGAUAUGGAGUUUCAUUGGCCUACGAUGGGCUUUUGAUUUGUCAUGUUAUUGUUAGUUCUAUACUUGUAACCAAGGCCUCUGUUAGUUUUGGCCUAAAAGGGGGCAAAAAGCCCUAUGGAGUUGUCUUUGGCAACGAUUCCAUCCAGAAGUGGAUAUAAUAUUUUGUUUAAUCCCUUUUAAUAUAGUACAUUUGGGAUUUUGUGGGAGACUUGCAGAAGAAAAGAUCACGAGGAAGGUCAACAUGGAGGGAAAAUGCAUAUAAAAAGUAUUGUCUCAAGAAUUGAAUGAUUCUGACACUAGUGAAACUCCCCUUGAGUCUCUGUGCAAUGCAUGCAGGAUCAAGAGCAGGAGGAAGAGGCGGGCUGUGAUGAACAAGAUCGGAGUGGAGAUUACGAAGGCGAAGCGCAGCAACAGCAUCAACGGCGGUUCCUUGAAGCGGAGGGUCUUGACCCGAGGAAGAGAAGUGUUGAUGCAGAGACCGUCAUCCUACUUAAGCGAAGUAGAGUCGCACUUGAAGUGAAAAGCGGUCUUUAGCGAGGAAAGCCUAAGCCUAUUAUUAGGUGUUGAGUUGAAUGUUUUUGUUUGUAGGAAGCCAACCCCUGGAUGUUGGAAUGUUCUAGUUGGUUAUUUUAAUUGACCAAAUGUAAAAACUAAGUUUAAUAUCAAUGGACUUUAUUUUGUC